rnacentral:rRNA from 1 species
UACGUAGGCAGCAAGCGUUUGUUCGGAGUUACUGGGCGUAAAGGGUGUGUAGGCGGUUAUUUAAGUCAGUGCUGAAAUACUCCAGCUUAACUGGAGGGGUGGCAUUGAUACUGGAAGACUUGAGUACAGAUGAGGUAGGCGGAAUUGACGGUGUAGCGGUGAAAUGCAUAGAUAUCGUCAAGAACACCGAUAGCGAAGGCAGCUUACUGGGCUGUAACUGACGCUGAUGCACGAAAGUGUGGGGAUCAAACAGG